rnacentral:ncRNA from 12 species
UAUGCAUUAACAGAGCAGGCGAUGCAUCUGAAAUUUAUGUUUCAGAUAUGUGGGGCUGGGCCGGGCUAUCUGCCGGCAGCAGGUAUAUAACCUGUGGGACUGAU